CCGGGUUGUGGCCUUGUGCCUUUUCCGGCACCACCAGAAAGCUGUGCUCCUCCAGACCCAGACGUCCCUGGGGCUCAGGACACCCUCCUCGGGGUGCAGAACCUUCUCAGACCGGGUCCGGCCGUCCCUCCCUCCCGCUGCCCGGUGUUCAGCCCAGGUGGGCAGUCAACCCCUUAUUGCCAGGCCUCCGGAGGACCAGAAAUGCCCCCGCAUCCCCUGGAGGGACCCCUGGAGGUGGCCCGGAGCCUGGACGCCUGGUACCUGGGUCUCAGGGGGGACCCUCCUCCCAAGGGAGUUCCCUGAUUCCUGAGGGCCAGCAGUUCCGGCCUUGAGGUGGGGCUCCCCGGAGCCCUGCCUCUCACAUCCCUCCCCCACCCAGCAGACUCUCUCAUUCACUGGAGGCCUGGCCACGGCUCCGAGCUCACAGUCCUUGCGUGUGCUAGGUAGAGAGGAGGCCUGGAGGCCAGGCCGGCCGCAGGAAGUUCAGGCAGCAGGUGAGAAUUUUCUACACCGGGUCGGAGGGGGCGGGUGGUGACUGUCACCCCAACAACAUCUGGGGGAGCCCUGCUCUUCCCGAGGGGGAGACUUGCUCCCUCCCACAGUACAAACAAUGCCAGCUGGGCUGUUGAUGGGGGGCAGCGGUUGGCUUGACUUCCGUGGGUGCCCAGCCCCAGGCUGACGUGGAUCCCUCCGCCUGGCAGAGUCGGGGCUCCCGAGUGGGAGAGGCAGGGUGGACCCAGCACAAACGGCCUGGCAGGUCAGGUGGUCGGUCGGAGGGUGGGGAGUCACGGGGAGGGCUUCCCGGAGGAGGUGGGGCUCACACAGGCCUUGAAGGGCGAGUAGGGUGGGGUGGCAUGGAAGGAACAUCGAGCGUCAGCACAGAGCAGUGGGAGCCAAGCUGGGUCCGUGCACGCAGGUGGCCACGAGGCCGUCCUGCUCCGCAAGGAGCCUUGAGGCCGGAUCUGCACAGCGGCGGGAGGGCGUGUCCCGCAGCGGGUGGCCGGGACAGGGACUCCACUUAGGAAGGAUGCCCAGCCCCCUUCCUGGGGAAAAGGAGCCUUAGCACUAGAGAGGCUUUUCCCCGCCGGGUCACAGAAGAGGGAGCAGGGGUGGAACCCGGGAGGGACCUCGGGCCUCCUGGGCUGUAGGCGGGAAGGCCCCUCCCGGAGGUGGCUCCAGGCCUGGAGGGCGGCGGGGGACGCUGGGGUAGGAGAGCCGGACAGCCCUCCCAUGGCCCCCAAGAGUCGCCCUCGGGUAUCUGCCCCCCCUGGGGUUCCCGGGCACUUUCCCCGAAGCCGGACCUGCCGGCUGGGUCCAGCGGAGCGGCCGGCGCCACCUGGUGGCGGCGCGCCUGCCUGAACCUGCACCACCAUGGGGGCCUGGCGGUCCUGAGGGACCCUGUGCCUCUCCCAGGCCUUGGGGUCCUGCAGCCCUUGUGGCCAGCCUGCCCAGGGUCCUGGGACCCUCUAGGGCCAGCUUCCAGGCAUCUCCUGCGGUCCUGGGGUCAACCUUCCCCAGGCCGGCCCAGGAAUCCUGCCAGGCGAGCAGUACUUGUGCGUCGGUGCCCGCCCCCGCCCCCGCCCCCGUGCAGGGGCGGGGGGAGGGGCACACGCACACACCUACACCCGCAGGUGUGCGCACACACGGGCACGCGCGCGCCGGGAUUCUCCAGCCGACAACCCGUCUGGAAUUCUCCACCAUAAACACCUCCAGUGGAGCUGUUCCAAUCCCAGAACACACAGGCCCUGGCGUUUCCGGAAGGUUGGCUCCCGGGGAGCUGGGGGCUCCGACCCCCCGGAAGCCCUCAGGCCAUCGAGCAGACCUGGGAGUGUCCUUCAGGGGACAUGGGGCCCGGACACCUGUGAGCUUCCACGGCAGGGGCUCACCCGAGGGGCCCCCGGCCACACCCGUGUCCAUACUCGGUGGGGCCCGGGCAGAAAACUUGCAGCCCCUUGUUCAAAACGGUUACAAUUUCCAGAGCGCGACGGCGGGCGUUGGACCAGGCCCGGGGCCCUUCCCUCUGCGUGCGGGACCUGCCUCCACGUCCCUUCUUGGUGCUGGGGCUCCACGGGCCUGGGCCUCUGCUCCUCUCCCUUCGCCUACGGGUCUGUGAGAGGCCUCGCGGGGACAGCAUGCACACAGCCCCUGCAGGGGUGACAGAGCCGGGCCUGGGGGCCGGGCCACCUGGGGUCUGGGUGCUUCCCCGCCUCUUUGAGCAGAGGCUCCGUCCACAGCACACGGAAGGGCGGGGGUGGUUCUGGGAGUGAGGCCUGGGCGCCGUGCAGGAGCGAGGGGAUCCAGGCCGGGUGCCUGGUGAUUCCUGGAGGGGGUGGCCCCGCCUGGCUCUUGUGGACAAACAGGAGGAGGUCCCUGGUGGCCAGAACCGUGACUUUGGCCACCAGCGCUCCCCGGGGGGGAGGAGCUGAGCCAGAGAGAGACUUCCGCGGGUCUGGGGUCCCAGGACGCCCCGUCGUGGCACCGGCCCCCAGCUCAGAGCCCCACGUCCCUGACGUGGGUGUGCUCCCACCCCAGGCCCCUGGCAGGGAGGCUACACCAGGCCCACCCCCCUCCCACCAGCAAGAAGGGUGGCAGGUCGGCAGGUGGGCAGGUCCGGGCAGCGGCUGCUGAGUCAGUUUGCAAGGAAUGUUCUGGCCUCUCCCAGCUUCACCCUGUCCCUGCCUGCCCCCACCUCACCCUUCUCCCCAGGCGUGGCUGGCGUGGCGCCCAGACCAGGAACGCAUCUCCAGCCCGGGCUUGCUCGGACCAGCUCCCCCCAGCAGUCGACCCCCACCGCUCCCCCUGCUUGCCCCCAUGACCUCAACGGAGCCCCGGUCCCUCAGAGCCCCCACCCCCACGCUCCCAGGUUACUUCCCGGGCUGGAGGGCCCCCCCCCACCCCCCAACCCCCGCCGCCCCGCAUGUGUGAACAGGCUCCACCUGUGUGACGGAGAACCGUGGCAGGCCUGAGGUCAGGGCGGGGGUGAACCGGGACCCCAGCGACAGCCCCCAGGCAGAUCCCAGGGCCCAGAGGAGAGAGGCCUGGAGGGAGAGGGCUUCCUGGAGGAAGAGGCUCUGCAAUGACGAAGGCCCGGCCUGCUGGGCUGGGGGCUGGGGGCUGGGGGCUGGGGAGGCGGCCAGGAGGCUGGGCCUGUGUCUGCUGGGCCGGCCGUCUGGCCGGGGCCUCCCUCCCUUGGCUCCACUCAGAGCCCUUGCCCCCGGCCACCCCAGGCUGCCUCCUCGCCCAGGCAAACCCUGGGCUGAUGCUGCUGGGCAGAUGGGGCAGUGGGGCUGGGGGCCGCGGGGCCGUCCCCGGGCGUGACCCGGCCGCCCGGGCGCUCUGCUCCAGGCCAGCAGGAAGGGGAGAUGGGGCGCCCCCCAGACGCCCACAGCACCCUGGCCCCGGCGGGCACCACAACUGUACCCGGGCUCAUUCCGGACCUCGUCGCCGGGCUCCCCUGUGAGCUGCG
rnacentral:lncRNA from 1 species